UACAGAGGUCUCAACCGUUGUUCGGAUUUAUUGGGCGUAAAGGGUGCGUAGGCGGUCGGGUAAGUCGGAUGUGAAAUCCCAGGGCUCAACCCUGGAACUGCAUUCGAUACUGCCUGGCUAGGGUACUGGAGAGGAGACUGGAAUUUACGGUGUAGCAGUGAAAUGCGUAGAUAUCGUAAGGAAGACCUGUGGCGAAGGCGAGUCUCUGGACAGUUACCGACGCUGAGGCACGAAGGUCAGGGGAGCAAACGGG
rnacentral:rRNA from 1 species